GUUCGUGAACAAAAUCGGAAUGAAUUGGAAUAGGAAUCGGAAUGACCAUAUCCUAUGAAGCAUUGAUGACUAGAAUCAGAAUUGGAAUAAAUAUUUAAAUCUUUAAGAAGAAUCCAAAUUAGAUUUCAUGGCGAUUGAGCCAUUCCUAUUUUACUCAAGAAUCGAAAUUGGAAUGGUCGAAAUAGGAAUGGGACUCUCUCC
rnacentral:lncRNA from 1 species